ensembl:lncRNA
AACAUGUCUUCUUUCCACUGUAUACUGGAAUCAAAUAAAACAGUAUCUGUAAAUCAUCUAGGUGGGCAAUCAGACUUGCUCAAUUAAUGUUAAUUCCAUGUCAGUUGAAACAACAACAAUAAAGGAGACCAAACAUGAAGACUGGUAACCACCUGCUCCUGAGGUAUUGGUUUUAACCCAUUUUUUGUUUUGUUUUGUUUUGUUUUUUUAGAACAGGAAGGAAAUAAACAAAUGGAUACCUAGUGGGGAGUAACAGUGCUUCACUGAUGCAUGAGCUCCACAAACCUUCUUUGGGAUGGGGAUGCAAAGGAGAAGAGGACUCUGCUACUGUGUGGAGGACUGCAUUGCCUGCCCAGCCUUCUGAUGCACCAGGGCACUUACUGGAGUUCACGCGCAUGAUUAUGAACUUACAAGGAGCAAGACAUUUUAAAACGGCAGAAUCCAGCUUCCCAGCCAAGGAAGGGACGUAUGGCAUCUCCCUGAGUGCCGGGACUGCACUGUCCGAGCUGAUGUUGAAACCUAGGUAGACUGAUGUCUCUCAUGGGCCAAGUUAAAAAAAAAAAGGUGAGUUUUCUCUAAAAUUAAUUGGCUUUUUUAGGAAAACACAUUGCUGUCCCACAAUGUUAGAAAAUGAGGCUGAGGGGACAGUCCAAAACCAGCGGUUUUUCAGCGUCAGUGCAGAUGUACUCUGGCCUCCGAGUUCAGACCUUACAUAUGAAUGUUUAUGAGAAUAUGGCAUCCAUUUUCCAUCAUACUAAUUUGAUCAGCUAACAUUAUGGAGUGCCUGCAAAAGAAGCUUGCUAGGUACCCGAUGAGAAAGUACCUCACAAAGUGAAAGUACAGAACCAGAAAGGGAUGAUGUGAGUCUUGAUUUUAAUGUUAGCUCUUGUAUUUAUUGAAGGCAAUUAAAAGCAUCAUCUGAUUGAUAUUGGUAAAUUAAGAAGCUAUAUUCUAAACUUCUGUGCCUAAUAUUUCAGUCUAUUGCCGUAUUUUAUGGCCUCUAAUAUUCUUGUUUGAUCAGUUUAUCAGGGAAUUCUUGAAAGUUGAGGGUUUUUUUGAAAGCUCUUGUUUCACAAAGGUGUUUCUUAUAUUUGAAGCAGAUUUUCUGAUUCCAUUUCAAAUAAUCACUAAGGGCAAAUAUAUUUUGGGUUAUCUUUGCCACGUUCCCCCCCACCACCACCAAUUUUUGUUAACAGGUAGAAACUAGCUUUGGCCUGAGAAGUUGGCAUGUUUGUUGUAUCCAUGUGCAGACGUGUGCAUCUGCACAUGGGUGCUUACACACACACACACACACACACACACACACACACACACACACACACACGGGCGACCCUCUCUGGGAUUUGUGGUUUGAAUGAGAAAAGGCCCCCGUCAGGCUGGGACUAGCAGGUCAGGAAAUUUAACCUGACUCUCCCAACCCCAGUCAUCAUCGGCAGGGUCUGAAAAGGCCAGGUUUGUCAGGACUCAAGGAUCCUUGGUGUCUGAGUGGCAAAACCGAUUUGAGGUCCUGUCUGUUCUGUCCUAACAUUUGCCCUGGACUCCUCCGCUCGAACCAACUCUCCCCUCCUGUGUGCACAGUGCCUGGGCGUCUCUUGAUGGGGGUGCAGGGUGAGCGUGAUUACCCCUGACUCCACUCCAUGUGAGGUCAGAGGUCAUUUGCAUGGACUUGCUCGACUGCUUUGGAAGGACAAAGAAAAUGUGUUCCUUGUGUUUGUGGGGGAGAACAGAGCCUGGUGUGAGGGCCUGGAGAGUUCAGUGUAAAACGGGCCCGGAUCGCAAAGACAGGAAAGAAUGGGACAUGUCUCAGUGGUUUGUGAAGAUCUAGGUACGAGCCUGUGCAGGAGGAUGGCGUCUCCCUUCUUUACAGAUGAGAGAUUAAGCAGCUUGUCAAUAUCUUAAGGGUCUUUAGCAAAAUCUACCCCCAAUCCCUAGGAUCCCAGCCCCACCCACCUCCGAAGCCCUUGUUCUAUUCUGUCCUCUGUUCCAUCCUGUCCCCUGAAGAAGCACUGUGCUAGGCCCCUGAGGGGGACACGCAUGUGCACACAGUCACCUCAGGACAUGACGCUCCCAUGACUUCAAUGACUGUGUGCUCUGGAGCUGUGCAGACAGAAGAGAAAGGAUAUUUCACGUCUGUCCUAUAUACCCUUGGAUGGGACACACUGCGAGGAAGUCCUCAGACAUCUUGGCAUCAACUGUCCUGGGUGGUAUCAGAGGAAGCCUUAGGAAGAGGGUUCUCUGGAUUCCCAUCAGCACCUUCCUCCCACCCACCAGCAGUAAAGUCUGAGUAGACAAAUACAUCCAUUAAAUAAUAAAAAAAAUUAUAAUCUAAGCCAUGUCCAUGACCUCUCUGAGCUUUAGCUCUAAAACAGCUUUCCCAGCCACCUCCCUGUCUUCUUAACAAAUUUCUUCCCUGAUCUUCUAUAUAAACAAUGAAGCGGCCUCUGCUCACAAGGACCUGGGCUGGCCAUUUCAGCAUAUCUCAUUUAUUCCUUACAGUUUCUCUGCGUUUUGUCAGGCCCUGAUUUAGGAGCUAGGCACACACAAGACCCCACAGGCUUUCAAGGGAGGUUAAAUGCUCAGGGAGCCCUCAGGUUAAAAGGGUGGUAAAGACCAUUCCUGCAUUUGUAUUUGCCAAAAAGACAUGCCACAUGCUGAGCUGCCAGGACAAAACAAUGCUUAGUCCAUUUUCUUUACAGAAGGGCAUUUUUCUCUAUGCUUCACCAUAAUCAAGUUGUUGAAUUGUGCUCCUCCCAGGCUGGGCAGGACAGAGGUAUUGAAACAACUCAUCUCAGGGCAGUUUGGGCUGCCAGUGGAAGACUGGUUGUUACUUGAUUGCAGUGGAUGACCAUGUCUGAUUUGAGAAAUUAAUAAACAAUUGGAUAUUUUGCUAGUUUUAAAACAAGGUCUGUAACAGUUGAAUGCGAAACUCAUUUGAUACGUUAAUAUGCCAUACACUUGGAGAAUGUCCAUGCUUAUGGAGCCCCUAAAGGUUCUGGACCAGGAGUUCCUGUCAUGGCUCAGUGGUUAAUGAACCUGACUAGUAUCCAUUAG